rnacentral:rRNA from 1 species
CCCUUAGAUGUUCUGGGCCGCACGCGCGCUACACUGACGAAUGCAACGAGCUUAUAACCUUGGCCGAAAGGUCUGGGUAAUCUCCAAAUUUCGUCGUGAGGGGGAUAGAUUAUUGCAAUUAUUAAUCUUCAACGAGGAAUGCCUAGUAAGCGCAAGUCAUCAGCUUGCGUUGAUUACGUCCCUGCCCUUUGUACACACCGCCCGUCGCUCCUACCGAUUGAAUGGUCCGGUGAAGCGUUCGGACCGUGGCCUUUGGACGGUUCGCCGUCUGUUGGCUGCGGGAAGUUCGUUAAACCUUAUCAUUUAGAGGAAGGAGAANUCGUAACA